ACACCCGUGUUCUGCCUCUCGACGCCUGUCUGCCCGCGCCCCCCGCUUGUGAUGCCCAUCUCGUCUCCCCGCUGUGGCAGCCGCCUUCGCGUCCGCCGCGAGAUCCCUCCGCGCACGGGCGCGUCCCCCACAAACCGCGCUCCGUGAAAUCCGCACUCCCCUCGCCGCCUCCCCAGCCCGCAGCCUCUCCUCAACCUCCCUCCCCAAGGAGCUGGCGGCGGCGCGACUGCGUCGGGAGAGGACGCAGAGGACGCCGCGCGGGGGCUGCGGCAGGAGCUCGACUCCGAGCAGGCCUCCCCGGAGAUGGCAGCCAGAUCCGGCUAUUGAGCCCCCUAACCGAGCGGAUCCAAGAUAGUUUUUUUUGUCUCCAGUUGCUCUACACAGCAAGUCUAUGAGGAAGGAGCAAAAGAAGUUGCUCUUUCAGUUGUCAGCGGAAUUAAUUUAACUCAAGCAUACUUGCCUAUGGCAAACAAGCAGUGGACUUACACAAUGAUCGAAAUGACAGACUGUUCGUGCUAUCGGUUUGGAAAGAACAUGUGGAAAGCUAAUCUCGGAUCUUGCUUCCUUCAGAAGACCCAAAGGACCUUGAACAGCAAAAUCUAAGGUUUCAACAUUGCAGACACACAAGAGUCCAGCAUGCGCCAACGCUCCUGCAGUUUGUGACAGAUUGCUCAAAGAAAAGCAAGACAGCUCGCCAAUCCUAGAAGUGGAAAAAAACAACAUAGAAUAAUUAGCCAGCUACAGGGAGUAAACCAUUAAGAGAAGAAACAUCGUAAUGCCAUGUUUCCAAAUGGGCACAAAGAAACUUCAAGCACCUCUAGACGGAAGCUGUCUGCACUGAAGAUCAGGACACGAAUAUCGCGAGCUUUAUCAAGGCUCGCCUUGUGCGGAAGGUGUAUUUCUGUGAGAUCUCCAAGAUGAAGCAUUAGGGGGUCAAUCGCCCCAGAUUUUACAUGUAGCUAACUUAGUAGGGCACCCAUAAUCCAUAAUUUAUUCUCUGUAGUUGUAGCAGCGACCUAGAGGUGUUAUUCUGUAGCACAUUGUGUAACAUGUAGGAGAGAGAUAAACACAUAUCCCCAUUCUUUCUACUGAAACACCAGAAAUAGUUGCUCUUGCUCCAUAAUUCAUUAAUGUGAACUUCUGAAGCCAUGCCAAGGUCUUAUAUUGA